GAACGAAUCUUCUUCGGAAGAUGAGUGGCGAACGGGUGAGUAAUACAUAGGUAACCUGCCCCUGUGCGGGGGAUAACAGGAGGAAACUCCUGCUAAUACCGCAUAGCCAUGAGCACCGCAUGGAGCUCAUGCCAAAUAUCCUUUCGGGGAUAGCGCAGGGAUGGACCUAUGGCGCAUUAGCUAGUUGGCGGGGCAACGGCCCACCAAGGCAACGAUGCGUAGCCGGCCUGAGAGGGCGGACGGCCACAUUGGGACUGAGACACGGCCCAGACUCCUACGGGAGGCAGCAGUAGGGAAUUUUCGGCAAUGGGGGAAACCCUGACCGAGCAACGCCGCGUGAGCGAAGAAGGCCUUCGGGUCGUAAAGCUCUGUUGUAAAGGAAGAACGGCGCAUACAGGAAAUGGUAUGCGAGUGACGGUACUUUACCAGAAAGCCACGGCUAACUACGUGCCAGCAGCCGCGGUAAUACGUAGGUGGCGAGCGUUAUCCGGAAUCAUUGGGCGUAAAGAGGGAGCAGGCGGCCGCAAGGGUCUGUGGUGAAAGACCGAAGCUAAACUUCGGUAAGCCAUGGAAACCGGGCGGCUAGAGUGCGGAAGAGGAUCGUGGAAUUCCAUGUGUAGCGGUGAAAUGCGUAGAUAUAUGGAGGAACACCAGUGGCGAAGGCGACGGUCUGGGCCGCAACUGACGCUCAUUCCCGAAAGCGUGGGGAGCAAAUAGGAUUAGAUACCCUAGUAGUCCACGCCGUAAACGAUGGUCACUAAGUGUCGGGGGUCAAACCCCGGUGCUGCAGUCAACGCAAUAAGUGACCCGCCUGAGUAGUACGUUCGCAAGAAUGAAACUCAAAGGAAUUGACGGGG
rnacentral:ncRNA from 1 species